rnacentral:rRNA from 1 species
UAGCUGAGGAAAAGGAAACCAACCGGGAUUGCCUUAGUAACGGCGAGUGAAGCGGCAAAAGCUCAAAUUUGAAAUCUGGUACCUUCGGUGCCCGAGUUGUAAUUUGGAGAGGGCAACUUUGGGGCCGUUCCUUGUCUAUGUUCCUUGGAACAGGACGUCAUAGAGGGUGAGAAUCCCGUGUGGCGAGGAGUGCGGUUCUUUGUAAAGUGCCUUCGAAGAGUCGAGUUGUUUGGGAAUGCAGCUCUAAGUGGGUGGUAAAUUCCAUCUAAAGCUAAAUAUUGGCGAGAGACCGAUAGCGAACAAGUACAGUGAUGGAAAGAUGAAAAGAACUUUGAAAAGAGAGUGAAAAAGUACGUGAAAUUGUUGAAAGGGAAGGGCAUUUGAUCAGACAUGGUGUUUUGUGCCCUCUGCUCCUUGUGGGUAGGGGAAUCUCGCAUUUCACUGGGCCAGCAUCAGUUUUGGUGGCAGGAUAAAUCCAUAGGAAUGUAGCUUGCCUCGGUAAGUAUUAUAGCCCUGUGGGAAUACUGCCAGCUGGGACUGAGGACUGCGA